rnacentral:rRNA from 1 species
UACGUAGGUGGCAAGCGUUGUCCGGAUUUACUGGGCGUAAAGCGCGCGCAGGCGGACUGAUCAGUCUGGGGUGAAAUCUCCCGGCUCAACUGGGAGCGGUCCCUGGAUACUGUCAGUCUUGAGAGACCUAGAGGAGAGCGGAAUUCCCGGUGUAGUGGUGGAAUGCGUAGAUAUCGGGAGGAACACCAGUGGCGAAGGCGGCUUCCUGGACCAUUACUGACGCUGAGGCGCGAAAGCUAGGGGAGCAAACGGG